CUGUAAAUGCUUUCAAGUUAUGGGCUUUUCUGGACUUGGUAUCACAAAGUAAUUGCCAACUGGAACUUGGAGGGUGAUGCUCUGAUAUGAAGAUCAAGGCCAAACAUCCUACUGAAAGAAAAAAGUUUAAUCAUCAAGUUCCCUUGUGCUUUAUCUCAUACAUUAUAAUAUGGUACCGCAAUACAGUCUUAAUUCUGAAUGAUUCGUAACCCCAUCGCAGAGCCAGGUUUGAUUGAACUUCAUUAGCAAGUAGCAACAGAUAACUAGAAGGACAUAUAUUGGACAAGAAACAAAGUCCGCAUAUAUAGAAGUAAGUCGAGCAGAAGAUGAGAAGACAUACACUGCAAGCAGUGAUGCAGGACCUUCCAAUACAGCGGUAAUCCCUUCAACGGUCACAGUUGCGGUGUCCCUAGCGACAUAUCUGGAGUCGCCUUUGCUGUAUUCUUUCCCUGAACAAGGCAGAGCCCACCCAAUGUCAUUUCAGCUCAACAACAACAUAUUCUGAUUUGGGACAAUAAUUACGGCUGGUGAUGCCAGCGAGAACUUACAAACUUCAUUGAAGAAAUUGGGGUUUUCCUUCUUGAAGAAAUUAGGGGUGAAUACGAAGGGCCCCUCGAUGAGUAUGUGGGUCAACCCUGUGAAUGCCCACCAGCACAUAAGCAGACGGUCGGUCUUGGACAAUCUGCCACAUCUUCCUGAAAGUAAUGACAUGACAUGAGCUCAGAGUUAUACUAGAUCGUGAAAAGCAAAGCAGAAUCAUGGUAAAACAAACGAGCGCGCUAGGCUAGAUUCCAACUUUGGACACUGGAAUUUCAACUCCGAGGAGGGGAACCGUCGGUGAUGGAUCGGAGGAACAAGUAGGAGGAGAUCGAUACAUAGUAUAGAGUAUCGUACCGGAGA